rnacentral:rRNA from 1 species
GGUAGUCCACGCCGUAAACGUUGGGAACUAGAUGUGGGGACCAUUCCACGGUCUCCGUGUCGUAGCUAACGCAUUAAGUUCCCCGCCUGGGGAGUACGGCCGCAAGGCUAAAACUCAAAGGAAUUGACGGGGGCCCGCACAAGCGGCGGAGCAUGCGGAUUAAUUCGAUGCAACGCGAAGAACCUUACCAAGGCUUGACAUAUACGAGAACGCACUGGAGACAGUGAACUCUUUGGACACUCGUAAACAGGUGGUGCAUGGUUGUCGUCAGCUCGUGUCGUGAGAUGUUGGGUUAAGUCCCGCAACGAGCGCAACCCUCGUCCUAUGUUGCCAGCACGUAAUGGUGGGAACUCAUGGGAUACUGCCGGGGUCAACUCGGAGGAAGGUGGGGAUGAGGUCAAAUCAUCAUGCCCCUUAUGUCUUGGGCUUCACGCAUGCUACAAUGGCCGGUACAAUGGGCUGCGAUACCGUAAGGUGGAGCGAAUCCCAAAAAGCCGGUCUCAGUUCGGAUUGAGGUCUGCAACUCGACCUCAUGAAGUCGGAGUCGCUAGUAAUCGCAGAUCAGCAACGCUGCGGUGAAUACGUUCCCGGGCCUUGUACACACCGCCCGUCAAGUCAUGAAAGUCGGUAACACCCGAAGCCGGUGGCCUAACCCUUGUGGAGGGAGCCGUCGAAGGUGGGAUCGGUAAUUAGGACUAAGUCGUAACAAGGUAGCCGUACCGGAAGGUGC